UACGGAGGGGCGAGCGUUGUCCGAAGUUACUGGGCGUAAAGAGCUCGUAGGCGGCUUGUCGCGUCGACUGUGAAAACUCGGGGCUCAACUCCGAGCUUGCAGUCGAUACGGGCAGGCUAGAGUUCGGUAGGGGAGGACUGGAAUUCCUGGUGUAGCGGUGAAAUGCGUAGAUAUCCGGAGGAACACCGGUGGCGAAGGCGGCUUCCUGGGACCCGACACUGACGCUGAGGCGCGAAAGCUAGGGGGAGCAAACGGG
rnacentral:rRNA from 1 species